AUUGAACGCUGGCGGCAGGCCUAACACAUGCAAGUCGAACGAGUGGCGGACGGGUGAGUAAUGUCUGGGAAACUGCCUGUUGGAGGGGGAUAACUACUUGAAACGGUAGCUAAUACCCCAUACCAUCGCUUGUGCCCAGAUGGGAUUGGCUAGUAGGUGGGGUAAAGGCUCACCUAGGUGACGAUCCCUAGCUGGUCUGAGAGGGUGACCAGCCACACGGGAACUGAGACACGGUCCAGACUCCUACGGGAGGCAGAAGUGGGGAAUAUUGCACAAUGGGGGCAAUCCUGAUGCAGACAUGCCGCGUGUAUGAAGAAGGCCUUCGGGUUGUAAAGUACUUUCAGCGGGGAGGCGUUACCCGCAGAAGAAGCACCGGCUAACUCCGUGCCAGCAGCCGCGGUAAUUC
rnacentral:rRNA from 1 species